GAUGAACGCUGGCGGCGUGCCUAAUACAUGCAAGUCGAGCGAACAGAUGAGGAGCUUUCUCCUCUGACGUUAGCGGCGGACGGGUGAGUAACACGUGGAUAACCUACCUAUAAGACUGGGAUAACUUCGGGAAACCGGAUACAAUACCGGAUCAUAUAUUGAACGGCAUGGUUCAUUAGUGCUCGACGGUUUUGCUGUCACUUUUAGAUGGAUCCGCGUCGCAUUAGCUAGUUGGUAAGGUAACGGCUUACCAAGGCAACGAUGCGUAGCCGACCGGAGAGAGGGAUCGGCCAAACUGGAACUGAGACACGGUCCAAACUCCUACGGGAGGAAGCGGGAGGGAAUCUUGCGCAAGGGGCGAAAGCCGGACGGAGCAACGCCGCGGGAGUGAUGAAGGUCUUCGGAUCGUAAAACUCUGUUAUUAGGGAAGAACAAAUGUGGAAGUAACUAUGCACGUCUUGACGGUACCUAAUCAGAAAGCCACGGCUACCUACGG
rnacentral:rRNA from 1 species